GAUGAACGCUAGCGGCAGGCUUAACACAUGCAAGUCGAGGGGCAGCGCGGGAUAGCAAUAUCCUGGCGGCGACCGGCGGAAGGGUGCGUAACGCGUGAGCGACAUGCCCGUUGCCCGGGGACAACCGGUGGAAACGCCGACUAAUCCCCGAUGGGAUAUUGUGCCGCAUGGCACGAUAUUGAAAGUUACGGCGGCGACGGAUUGGCUCGCGUCCGAUUAGCUUGUUGGCGGGGUAACGGCCCACCAAGGCUGCGAUCGGUAGGGGUUCUGAGAGGAAGGCCCCCCACAAUGGGACGGAGACACGGCCCAUACCCCGACGGGAGGCAGCAGUGAGGAAUAUUGGUCAAUGGGCGGAAGCCUGAACCAGCCAUGCCGCGUGCGGGAAGGAGGCCCUAUGGGCUGUGAACCGCUUUUGCCUGGGGGCAAUAAGGGCGUCGCGCACGUCCGAUGAGAGUACCAGGCGAAUAAGCAUCGGCUAACUCCGUG
rnacentral:rRNA from 1 species